AGUGAACGCUGGCGGUAGGCCUAACACAUGCAAGUCGAACGGCAGCACAGUAAGAGCUUGCUCUUACGGGUGGCGAGUGGCGGACGGGUGAGGAAUACAUCGGAAUCUACUUUUUCGUGGGGGAUGACGUAGGGAAACUUACGCUAAUACCGCAUACGACCUACGGGUGAAAGCAGGGGAUCUUCGGACCUUGCGCGAUUGAAUGAGCCGAUGUCGGAUUAGCUAGUUGGCGGGGUAAAGGCCCACCAAGGCGACGAUCCGUAGCUGGUCUGAGAGGAUGAUCAGCCACACUGGAACUGAGACACGGUCCAGACUCCUACGGGAGGCAGCAGUGGGGAAUAUUGGACAAUGGGCGCAAGCCUGAUCCAGCCAUACCGAGUGGGUGAAGAAGGCCUUCGGGUUGUAAAGCCCUUUUGUUGGGAAAGAAAAGCAGCAGGUUAAUACCCCGCUGUUCUGACGGUACCCAAAGAAUAAGCACCGGCUAACUUCGUG
rnacentral:rRNA from 1 species